rnacentral:lncRNA from 1 species
AGGCCUGGCUGGAGCCUUCAGAACGCCUACUCGCCUUCCUUCUUUCUCCCCUGCGCGGAACAUCGAAGUUCUGCUCCCAGGCCUGCGCGGGUUCGCCAACCUCCGCUGCGGGCGGUCUCGGGGGGCCAGUUAGACCAUCUACCUGCAUCUGUACGGAGAGGCCCUUGGAAAAGGCAGAGGGGCCGGUAAUGAGCCGGGCUCCCUUUGCCUUGCCUUAAGUGGAUGUAUACGGUGUAAUUCAUCAUGACAUUGUAAGCGUAGGUGGCCAUUAAUAAUUGCAUAAUAAUAACUGUGUAAUGGGAGUCCCUGGCACCACUCAAAUGCAGCAUUUGUGCCCAUUUUCACAAGUCGGUGAUGUCCAAGUGAAACUUUCCUCUCAUCAUUCCUGCCAAGAGUUAGUCAUCAUGUCACUGACUCCACGACGAAACUUGGGAAAAUAAAUUGUCCCCCUACAAGUGGACAGAGUGGGGUUCCAGCUGGCCAGGGACAUAGGGACUUCAAGUGAACAUUUGUUUGGGCGAGGUAUACAAAAGAGAUUAUGCUAAGAACUGUUACUUGGAACAUGGUUAAUCUUCACUAGUGAUCAAAUGCAAAUUUAAAUGAUGAUGCGAUACCAUUUAGUUGUUGAGUUUAAAUAUAAAUUCGUAUAUAUAUGAAGCCCUGUUGCAUGGUGUGAUGAGUGCCACGAAGAAAUCCAUUAGGAAAGAAAUAACAAGAAGAGACCUACUGUAGUUUCUGUGGUUCCGAAAGGCCUAAGGUGAAAUUUAAACUGAAACCUACUUAAUGAGAAGCUGGCCUUGCCAAUCGUUAUUUGAGCACAAGGAUUGGGGAGCAUUCCAGCAGAGGCAACAGGACACCGCCUGUGUUGCAGGAAGCAGUUCCUGGUGACUUGAAGAGUGGUAGGGAUGGAAUAUGGUGAUGUGCCUCCAGGCAAGCGUCCACCAUGGGGCUGAGGAAGUGGCCCCAGUGUCAGGGCAGUUCAAAGGUCACAGGUUGAUUCCAGUAUAAGAUUAGAAGGUGGAAGCAUGAGAAAGGAGUUGAGGAUGGAAUGUGAUCCUAAGAACUUGGCCACGAGGCAAAAAGGACUCCAGUUGUCAGCUUC